UUUAUUUGUCCGCUUUUUAAAAUGUAAAACCGUUUAUGAAAAAUCAUAUAUACGGCACUGUGCAUCUGCUUAGUUAGACAUGCUUCCAGCUCCCCCUACCAAUGUCCUAAAGGUUGAAUCACCAUCUUGAUCAAGAGUUUCCUCUAACCUUUUCUUGUUCUCAAAAUCCUUUGAUUCCUCCCUUGCCACAGGUAAUAUACACAUCCAGCUAGUAUUAUCAUGUAUAUAGCAGCUUGUGCACUUCCAUCAUAGGCUUGAACUUUAGCCCACUCCAACUCCUUUGUCAACCUUUUAAUAAAUUUAUUGUUAACUAAGAAAAUAACAAUUUAACUAAUUUUCCCGUAAUAAUAUAUUUUCUUGUCUAAUUAUAUUUAUAAAUAACUUGUAAUUGUAAGAUAUAUGGAUUUAUAUCUAGAUAUAUGGACUUAUAUCUACAUACAUUUGAACAAUAUAUGGAUAAUUAUAUGUUAUGUGCUAUCUUUUGGUUUGGCCUAAUUAUGUGGUCUUAUGGACAUUAUGUUAAGGGGGCCAAUGUGUU
rnacentral:lncRNA from 1 species